AGUGAACGCUGGCGGUAUGCCUAAUACAUGCAAGUCGAACGACCACACAAUAAGAUUUCUCUCCUAAGGGUAGCGAGUGGCGGACGGGUGAGAAAUACAUAAGCUACCUCUUUUACUUGGGGGAUUUCGUGGGAACACUUCUACUAAUACAUAAUAUGUCCUACGGCUGAAUUCAGUAGUUAUUCGCGCUUUGCCCGUCACUUUUAGCUGAUGUCGCAUUAGCUAGUUGACGGGGUAAGGGCCCACCAAGCCGACGCUCCGUAGCUGGUCUGACAGGAUGAUCAGCCACACUGGAACUGAGACACGGUCCAGACUCCUACGGGAGGCAGCAGUGGGGAAUAUUGGACAAUGGGCGCAAGCCUGAUCCAGCCAUACCGCGUGGGUGAAGAAGGCCUUCGGGUUGUAAAGCCCUUUUGUUGGGAAAGAAAAGCAGCAGGUUAAUACCCCGCUGUUCUGACGGUACCCAAAGAAUAAGCACCGGCUAACUUCGUG
rnacentral:rRNA from 1 species